rnacentral:rRNA from 1 species
AGCUCCAAUAGCGUAUACUAUAUCUGCUGUCGUUAGCACGCUCGUAGUUGGAUUUCGGGGCCCGUCGUCUGUCGUUGGUUUGGCAUCCGCCGGUCUUCGCCAGGCGUCGCUCGGCCGGUGCGGUCCGCCGAGAGGCGAGCACUGCCCGGCGGCUCCCAGUGUCUCUCGGAGGCCCCGUCUGCUCUUUGUUGUUGCGGUCGGGGAGUUCGGGACGUUUACUUUGAACAAAUUAGAGUGUUCCAAGCAGGCCGGUCGCUUUGAAUACGUUAGCAUGGAAUAAUGGAAUAGGGCUGUUCUCGUCCUAUUUUGUUGGUUUUCGGGACGGCAGUCAUGGUCGAUAGGAACAGUUGGGGGCAUUCGUAUUCAGUUGUCAGAGGUGAAAUUCUCGGAUUUGCGGAAG